CCAGACUCCUACGGGAGGCAGCAGUGAGGAAUAUUGGUCAAUGGGCGAGAGCCUGAACCAGCCAAGUCGCGUGAGGGAAGACGGUCCUAUGGAUUGUAAACCUCUUUUGCCGGGGAGCAAAAAGCGGUACGUGUACCGCAUCGAGAGUACCCGGAGAAAAAGCAUCGGCUAACUCCGUGCCAGCAGCCGCGGUAAUACGGAGGAUGCGAGCGUUAUCCGGAUUUAUUGGGUUUAAAGGGUGCGUAGGCGGAUUGUUAGGUCAGGGGUAAAGGCCGGGGGCUCACCCCGGGCGAGCCGUUGAAACUGGGGGCCUUGAGUGGGCGAGAAGAAGGCGGAAUGCGUGGUGUAGUGGUGAAAUGCAUAGAUAUCACGCAGAACCCCGAUUGCGAAGGCAGCCUUCCGGCACCCUACUGACGCUGAGGCACGAAAGUGCGGGGAUCGAACAGGAUUAGAUACCCCGGUA
rnacentral:rRNA from 1 species